GACGAACGCUGGCGGCGUGCCUAAUACAUGCAAGUAGAACGCACAGUUUAUACCGUAGCUUGCUACACCAUAGACUGUGAGUUGCGAACGGGUGAGUAACGCGUAGGUAACCUGCCUGGUAGCGGGGGAUAACUAUUGGAAACGAUAGCUAAUACCGCAUAAUAUUGAUUAUUGCAUGAUAAUUGAUUGAAAGAUGCUAUUGCAUCACUACCAGAUGGACCUGCGUUGUAUUAGCUAGUAGGUGAGGUAACGGCUCACCUAGGCGACGAUACAUAGCCGACCUGAGAGGGUGGUCGGCCACACUGGGACUGAGACACGGCCCAGACUCCUACGGGAGGCAGCAGUAGGGAAGCUUCGGCAAUGGACGAAAGUCUGACCGAGCAACGCCGCGGGAGUGAAGAAGGUUGUCGGAUCGUAAAGCUCUGUUGUAAGAGAAGAACGGGUGUGAGAGUGGAAAGUUCACACUGUGACGGUAGCUUACCAGAAAGGGACGGCUAACUACGUG
rnacentral:rRNA from 1 species